rnacentral:rRNA from 1 species
AGAUUGAACGCUGGCGGCAGGCCUAACACAUGCAAGUCGAGCGGCAGCACGGGUACUUGUACCUGGUGGCGAGCGGCGGACGGGUGAGUAAUGCCUAGGAAUCUGCCUGAUAGUGGGGGAUAACGUUCGGAAACGGACGCUAAUACCGCAUACGUCCUACGGGAGAAAGUGGGGGAUCUUCGGACCUCACGCUAUCAGAUGAGCCUAGGUCGAUUAGCUAGUUGGUAGGGUAAAGGCCUACCAAGGCUACGAUCCGUAACUGGUCUGAGAGGAUGAUCAGUCACACUGGAACUGAGACACGGUCCAGACUCCUACGGGAGGCAGCAGUGGGGAAUAUUGGACAAUGGGCGAAAGCCUGAUCCAGCCAUGCCGCGUGUGUGAAGAAGGUCUUCGGAUUGUAAAGCACUUUAAGUUGGAGAAGGCAUUAACCUAAUACGUUAGUGUUUUGACGUUACCGACAGAAUAAGCACGGCUAACUCUGUGCCAGCAGCCGCGGUAA